AAGAGACAGAUACCAGCUGGAUGGACUUUCUCUGGGCAGCCAUGCUGGGAACUCUCUUAUGGUCAGGGGAAGCAGAGCUGCAAUAACAGCAGGUGGAGAUGGGGUGCGAUCUGCUGCACCUGGGAUUCCUCCUCACAGUUCUCCAGCAGCUAGAACCUGAACGUGGAACAACUUGGUCGUCUGGCUGGUCGGUUUGGAAUCCUUGAGACUUCUGUGUGUUCUGCAUCUGCCACCUGUAGCAGUUGCUCUGUCGAUUGUUCCUGCUGAGGAACAAAGUGUGGGUGCUGAUGGUUUGUGCUGAGCUCUUCACCGUCAGUCUCGAUCACAUAGGAUCUAGGCACUUUUUAUGACAGCGGGCGUUGUCCAUCCUUUUUCUCCAUCUGAUUUGGCAUGAACACGGGCACCAGGUUCUAGACCCAGCAGUUCUCUAACCGAGCGAGGUCUGUUGUAUAAGUGUUCCCAAGCUCUUUUAGCUUUUUAAAUCUGAUUUGGCUACUCUCUUCAUGCCUGGCCACUUUGAAAAUAGAUUCUUGCCCAAAGUUGGAGCAGUAAUUCUGAGAUGUCUUCCCCAAAGGAUUCGUGCUGGACUAUAUCCAGUAACCGCUGUUGUUGUUGGUAACUCAGAAGAGCAAGGAAUGGCUCUUCCUGGUAUAGGAUUUUCUUGGCUGCCAGCACAGCUCUCUCAGCCUCUCUAUUCGCUUGUGAGUAAUGUGGGCUGCUAGUAAUAUGAUCAAAAUCAUAUUUUAUUCAGAGUGACUUAAAUUCUGCUGGGGACACUUGUGGUCCGUUGUCUGCCACUAGUUGUUCUGGAAUACCAAAGUGAGCAAAAGUGUACUACAGUUUGUCAAUACCACUGCGACAUGUUAUGUCUGCUGAGUACAUUCUUUCUAUAUACCUGGAAGAAUAGUCCUUGGUGACCAGAUAAUGGUAUCCACUGAAUUUGCAUAAAUCUGCAGCUAGUCUCUUCCAAGGUCUAUCUGGUAGGGGUGUUUGUACCCGGUAUGGUUCAGCAUUGUCUCUGGAUUUGUAUUGGAUCUCCUUUUAAAAGCCCAAUAUCCUCAAAUCCUCUGUCACGUUCUUCCGUCUUUCACACUAGGCUGUCAUGGCUGCCACAAUGCAGCUGCGAAAGCUGUUGGGGGUUCUUAGGUCACUGUCCUACGGAGAAGUGCCCUCCCCCGUUGUUGGCCUCAGCCAGAGCUCCCCAGUUCCCUGCUGAGUGGAAGUUGCUCCUGCCCCACGGCUGGCCACAAAUGUACCCCCUCCCCCACAAAGCCUUAGCCUGUGUCAGGCCUUCAUCUGUCCCUGACUCCCUGCCCUCUCCUAGAAGCCAUUUGAUUUCCCCAAUUCCCUGCUGCGUUUGGAAGCUGUUUCCCAUGGCUGCUGUUCUCUGUGUGUGACUUACUGAUGAGAUGAGGAACAUGGGUCUUGGUCAUUGCAGAUCCCCUUGUGCCUUUCCUCCAGGCCAGGCUAUUCACGCCAAUGCCCUGAUUCCCAGAUCAGCCUCUUCCCCUCCAUCCUCCCCGAGUCCCCGCAUCUGGACACAGGUUUCUUCUCCACUUCAUUUUGCUCAGUGUUGCCGUGUACUGAUGAGCAGCGGCCGUGUCCCACCCAGGGGUGGCUGCCUGUCUGGGGUGUUUGGAGUGACUCUCAGGCUGGGUGCAUGGUUGGUAAAGCAUGGAGGGCUCCUUUGGGUGAAACGGGAGUGUUUCAGUAAGCGCUGUUCUGCUUGGGUCGUUGCAUUAAAUCCUGUUGCCGUUAAUUCAGUUGCUUCAACUGUGUCUUCUCCAUGGAGUUAUUUGAU